rnacentral:tRNA from 1 species
UUCCCUGUGGCUCAGUUGGUAGAGCAUGGUGUGUGCAACGCCAGGGUUGUGGGUUUGAUUCCCACAGGGGGGC